rnacentral:lncRNA from 1 species
GAUCCAGUCAGACCUGCUGCAGAAUGGUGGCUGAGUGCCAGAGGAGCCAGGGCCAGGGGUGGGAGAAUGCCGUGUCUCCAGACAGGCUGGCAAGGCAUCACGGGUGGUCUAUCUCUCACAGGUACAGAAAUAGCUGAUUUUGUGUACUGUGCUCCUCUCAAGCCAGGAUAGCAGGCAGUGGUCAUCCUGAAAGAAAAAAGGUCCAGAGCUGGAAUUGUGGUUUUCACCAUCUUCCUAUUUCAAAUUCCCAUUUUCUGACACCGGUCUACAUGGGGCAGGACUGCUAAAGAUCUUUCUGGCCAAAUGAAGAACCUUGGGAAGUUGGCUCAGGGUUUCCUGUCUGAAGCCAGGAGAGAUGAGUUCCAUGCAGAAAGUUUGAUCUGACACUGGAACUUGUUUACAGAAGUUUCCCACACGCAAAUGCAUCUGGAUUUCCUCUGAACUGUCAUCAUCCUGCAGGGAUAUUCACUCUACCACCUCAUGGAAUUUUCUUUUCUCCUGACUGUAAGUUAAAUGGUCCUAAAUGUUGCCAGCAUUCAUGUCAGCCUCGUAUUUUGAAAACUUCAUAUCCCAUUGGGAACUCUGCAACCUCACCUUGACUUUAGAGGAUGAAAUCAAACCUUAGAUGUGAGCUGGUUCAGACCCGUCUGGGUGGCAGCUUUGCAUCUCAGGACGUUCUGAAAUGACAAAACACUGCUGAAUUGCUGAAAAAAAUGUGUUUGUUUAAUGUGGUUUAUAGGGAUUUACAACUUAGGUCAUGUCAGUAUGAGAAGGGCUGAAACCAUGUAUUCCUGAUCCAUUUCAAUUCAAAGCAAAAGGCAUUUAUUUAAGCAAAUCGCUACUGAUUUUCUCUGUACAAGAAAUACAUACGCAGUUAGGGAUCACUGCUUUGGAGAAGCAGAUGUAAUUUUCUUAAUUUCUCUUUUACUGCUGUUCAUGUGAUGGUAUAACCAAACCAAGAUUUGGUUCAGAUUAAUAUAGUAAUGUACUGAUACAAGCAUAACCAGCUUUAGCAUUGUUUAUGCCUUCUAAACACAUGUUCAUGAGGGGUUUAUAUUUCUAACCAGCCAAGCAUCUUAAAUGUAGGUAGAUUAGUGCAGAUUUUACAGUCCAGGCAAACUAUCCUGGUGCCAUACAAAUCAAGGCAAUUCUGCUCACCUUCACAGGCACUGUUGUGCAGUCACAAAGCAGUCACUAUCACAAUACUAAGGAAGCGUGUCCAUAGUCUAAAGGAUAUGGAUCUCUAAAAUGCAUUCCAUUUAGCUAUAUACCUGUAUUCACAGGUAUAUUUUUUACUUCUUCACCAAGUACUGUUCUCUUGUGAUCACACUGACAAACCAAACCCUUGUAUAUUAUUCACAUUAUCAAAAAAAUAUUUCUCCCAUUAAAACAGGUCACAAUUCUCAUGACAUAAGCAUCUAGUCAUUAAGCAAAAUAGUUCACAUAAUAACCUUUACUUCCUAAUAUGUUAUAAUGGCAUCAGAAAAGUAACCCAAUUUUUUCCACAGCCUCUCUAUUACUUAGCAAACUAUUUACUCCUACCUAUUUCACGUUUAUAAGAUGAAAGAGGCAAAAAAGUAAGAACUGUAUUAAUGCAAG